rnacentral:rRNA from 1 species
CUACCCCUACGGGACGCAGCAGUGGGGAAUAUUGGGCAAUGGGCGCAAGCCUGACCCAGCAACGCCGCGUGAAGGAAGAAGGCUUUCGGGUUGUAAACUUCUUUUGUCAGGGACGAAGCAAGUGACGGUACCUGACGAAUAAGCCACGGCUAACUACGUGCCAGCAGCCGCGGUAAUACGUAGGUGGCAAGCGUUAUCCGGAUUUAUUGGGUGUAAAGGGCGUGUAGGCGGGAAUGCAAGUCAGAUGUGAAAACUAUGGGCUCAACCCCUAGCCUGCAUUUGAAACUGUUAUUCUAGAGUAUGGG